ACACCGGACUGCGUUUUUUUUUUCCGAACGCCCGCAGCAGGGUCAGAAGGGAGGUGGUCGCCCUCCGUCGUGGUCUGGCGUGUAUUCCGAGCGUUGGUGUCUGGCGGUUUCCGAGCGUUGGUGUCUGGCGGUUUCUGACCGUUGGUGUCUGGCGGUUUCCGACCGUUGGUGUCUGGCACGCGCCACCCUCUCUUGCUUUGGUUGCGCCAUGCCGAUGUACCAGACAAGAAGACAAGAAAAUGAUUUGAGGACAGCUUCAAUCGCGGUGUGAAGAAGAAAGCAGCAAAACGACCACUGAAAACAACGCCGGUGGCAAAAUAUCCAAAGAAAGGGUCCCAAGCGGUACAUCGUCAUAGCCGGAAACAGUCAGAGCCACCAGCCAAUGAUAUUUUCAAUGCUGCGAAAGCUGCCAAAAGUGACAUGCAGGGAUGUCCUUCCUGAGAUCCGUGCUAUCUGCAUUGAGGAAAUUGGGUGUUGGAUGCAAAGCUACAGCACGUCUUUCCUCACCGACAGCUAUUUAAAAUAUAUUGGUUGGACUCUGCAUGAUAAGCACCGAGAAGUCCGCGUGAAGUGCGUGAAGGCUCUGAAAGGGCUGUACGGUAACCGGGACCUGACCGCACGCCUUCACUGGCCGCUUCAAGGACUGGAUGGUUUCCAUGAUCGUGGACAGAGAGUACAGUGUGGCAGUGGAGGCCGUCAGAUUACUGAUACUUAUCCUUAAGAACAUGGAAGGGGUGCUGAUGGACGUGGACUGUGAGAGCGUCUACCCCAUUGUGUAGGCCUCUAAUUGAGGCCUGGCCUCUGCUGUGGGUGAAUUUCUGUACUGGAAACUUUUCUACCCUGAGUGCGAGAUAAGAACGAUGGGUGGAAGAGAGCAACGCCAGAGCCCAGGCGCCCAGAGGACUUUCUUCCAGCUUCUGCUGUCCUUCUUUGUGGAGAGCAAGGUGACAUACACAGAGAGAACUCUGGCUGUUGUGCAUAGGACCUACAAGUGGGCUGGGGUUGGUGGCUCACGCCUGUAAGCCCAGCACUUUGGGAGGCUGAGGUGGGAGGAUCCUUUGAGCCCAGGAGUUUGAGACCAGCUUGGGCAACAUAGUGAGACCCUGUCUCUACCAAAAAAAAAAAAAAAAAAGACAAAUGGAGAAGGAUGGGGGUGUACACUGUAGGAAGGAGAGCGAUAUUUAAUCAGUAACCACUUCCUAGGGUAUUUUAACAUGCCAUCACUAAAUCCCCAUGCACCUCCUUCCCCAGCUCCACGACCACGCUGCUUACUUAGUAGACAACCUGUGGGACUGUGCAGGGACUCAGCUGAAGGACUGGGAGGGUCUGACAAGCCUGCUGCUGGAGAAGGACCAGAGCACGUGCCACAUGGAGCCAGGGCCAGGGACCUUCCACCUCCUAGGGUGAAACCAGGAGAGAUUGCUUGCUUCACUUGUACAAGGCAGGAACGGUGGCAUGGGGUGGGGGAAACUUGGAGUUGGAAGGUGGCUAAUCUUUGAUUCUAUGUUUUUGAUCCUCCUGGCACUCCAGACCUGGGUGAUGUGCAGGAGAGCACACUGAUAGAAAUCCUUGUGUCCAGUGCCCAGCAACUCCUGCCUCAGCCUCCCGAGCAGCUGGGACUACAGGUGCCCGCCACCACGCCCGGCUAACUUUUUUGUAUUUUUAGUAGAGACGGGUUUUCACCGUGUUAGCCAGGAUGGUCUUGAUCUCUUGACCUUGUGAUCCACCUGCCUCAUCAUCCCAAAGUGCUGGGAUUACAGGCGUGAGCCACUGCGCCCAGCAUGUUAGACAAUUUUUAAUUCAUCCUCUCUGUGCUGUUGUUUUCUCAGCUGUGAAAGGAAUAUUCUGGUGGGGACAAGGUUACAGAGUUGCUGAGAGGGUCUCAUGACAUGAAGGUACUGGCCUUGGCACAGUGCCUGGGGGGGCGGGGACUCCGCACAUGCCUGUGAUGUCACAGUUACUGUCAGUUCACAGCGAACCUUCCCUCCUUUUCCUGUUGACUUUCCCACACUCCUGUAACCGUCCCUCCCUCCCUUCUUCCUCUCUCUCUCACUCACGCACACGCACACACACACACACACACUCCAUUCACUGUCUCCAUGACUCUGGAGUAAACUAACGUCUCGAGUU
ensembl:lncRNA novel transcript